UAAUAUAAAACGUCUAAGUAACAACGAACGACGUCAUUUGCUGGAAAGUCUUCGGAGAUUUGCAGUAAUGUCCAGUUUGAAAGUUUCAUUUGGUGUUGCACUCGUGUUUCUUACGUUAUACUUCAUUCCAGAAAGCAAAGCGGUCUCCCGCCCCGUAUAUGACGAUGACGGACACGCGCCGGGUGGUUACCAGUUUGGCGACGGCUAUAUCUUUCAAACACCGACCCCUGUCGACGGUCGACACUCGGUAGAUGCCAGUUUAAAAUCACUGGCGAGAUUGCAGAGUGGAGAAAGACAGGCGUUGAAAGAUUUCUUGAAAAUGCUGCAGGCAAGUCUUUGAACAAGAGCUCUGAAGAGUACAACUUAGCAUACUAUUCGUAGCUUAACAAAUUCAGGAUAUAUGAAGUAAUUUUUUUUAUAUCAUUUUAUGUCUUGUUGCUCUUAAUAUAGACGAAUAUUUAAACAAAAUAAAUUUAUUGUUUCUGUAAUGUAACUAAGUCUAUUGCAUGAAAUUAUAGAUAGAGAUACCAAGAACA